rnacentral:lncRNA from 1 species
GGGAAUUGGAGGAUUGAGGAAAGUAUUGGAGGAAGAAGAAAGCCUGUGCGCUGAAGAAGAAGGACGUGAGCUGGUAAGGAGUACGGGAUGUGCUGAUAUUUAAAGAAGGUCUGAGAAGGGGUAAAAAUGGAAUUUUUACCACGCCGGCGUUUUGAGUUUUUCGGGAGUAGUGGUUGUCGUGGGCGCCCAUUUCGAAAAGAUUGCAAUCAUCAGGAUGUUUUCGUGGCGUCUGUUUCGGAUGUGAAGUUAAAAAGAAUUUCGAAGUAAAGACUAUGUUUUACUCCGAAACUGGGGGGCAUGUGUUGACGCCAGAUUUUGACACGUGUAAAAUCGGCGUUAGGAGAAGAAAAGAUCGGAAGAUGCGGCGAGA